GGGGAAUAUUGCACAAUGGAGGAAAGCCUGAUGCAGCAACGCCGCGUGAGUGAAGAAGGUUUUCGGAUUGUAAAGCUCUGUCAUCUGGGACGAUAAUGACGGUACCAGAUGAGGAAGCCACGGCUAACUACGUGCCAGCAGCCGCGGUAAUACGUAGGUGGCAAGCGUUGUCCGGAAUUACUGGGCGUAAAGGGUGCGCAGGCGGACAUUUAAGUGAGAUGUGAAAUCCCCGGGCUUAACUUGGGGGCUGCAUUUCAAACUGGAUGUCUAGAGUGCAGGAGAGGAAAGCAGAAUUCCUAGUGUAGCGGUGAAAUGCGUAGAGAUUAGGAAGAAUACCAGUGGCGAAGGCGACUUUCUGGACUGUAACUGACACUGAGGCUCGAAAGCGUGGGGAGCAAAC
rnacentral:rRNA from 1 species